rnacentral:rRNA from 1 species
UGCGCAGGCGGCCUGAUAAGUCAGAGGUGAAAUAUGUCGGCUCAACCGGCAAACGGCCCCUGAAACUGCCAGGCUUGAGUCCGGGAGAGGAUGGUGGAAUUCCUGGUGUAGCGGUGAAAUGCGUAAAUAUCAGGAGGAACACCGAUGGCGAAGGCAGCCAUCUGGCCCGGUACUGACGCUCAGGCACGAAAGCUAGGGGAGCGAACAGGAUUAGAUACCCUGGUAGUCC